UACGUAGGGUGCAAGCGUUAAUCGGAAUUACUGGGCGUAAAGCGUGCGCAGGCGGUUGUGCAAGACAGAUGUGAAAUCCCCGGGCUUAACCUGGGAAUUGCAUUUGUGACUGCACGGCUAGAGUGUGUCAGAGGGGGGUAGAAUUCCACGUGUAGCAGUGAAAUGCGUAGAUAUGUGGAGGAAUACCGAUGGCGAAGGCAGCCCCCUGGGAUAACACUGACGCUCAUGCACGAAAGCGUGGGGAGUAAACAGG
rnacentral:rRNA from 1 species